GGUAUUUAUUUCGUUAACUUCAUUGCUUUUACAGUGGGUUACUCUAUUAAUUCAUGGAUUUAGUAGUUCUUAAAGUUGCUGUUAAGUUCAAUCGAAGCACAGAAGCUGCACAAAAAACGAAAUAGAAAUGGAGUUUUUGUUAUGGUUUCAAAGUCGUUGGAUUGUGUGAGUAACAGCCGAUUAUAUUCUCCGAAAUACGCUACCAACGAUAAUCCACCUGAGUUGGACGCUAUAUUUGUUACUCCGUUUAAAAAAUGUUUCUUUGUACUUAGUGGUUUGCUUUUAUAUAUAUAAAAAAAACUUAUUCUGUUGUUUA
rnacentral:lncRNA from 1 species